GUUGCGGAUGUGAUGAGUUUGCUCAUGUCUCUUCUCUGACUUCUCACUGGAGAGAAUGUGUGACAAUCUGAUCCCAAC
rnacentral:snoRNA from 1 species